rnacentral:misc_RNA from 1 species
UCAAACUUGGUCAAGCUGUUGCUGGUCCUUCGGGGCAUGUGCACGUUUGCCACCAAUUUUAACCACCUGUGCACCUUUUGUAGAUUGGAAACGUUUCUCGAGGCAACUCGGAUUUGAGGACUGCUGUGCGCAAGCCAACUGUUCUUGUGUUUCUCAAUCUAUGUUUUCAUAUACUCCUAAUGUAUGUAUCAGAAUGUAUUGUUAGGCCUCAGUGCCUUUAAAUCAAAUACAACUUUCAACAACGGAUCUCUUGGCUCUCGCAUCGAUGAAGAACGCAGC